rnacentral:rRNA from 1 species
UACGGAGGGUGCAAGCGUUAUCCGGAUUCACUGGGUUUAAAGGGUGCGUAGGUGGGCAGGUAAGUCAGUGGUGAAAUCUCCGAGCUUAACUCGGAAACUGCCGUUGAUACUAUUUGUCUGGAAUAUUGUGGAGGUAAGCGGAAUAUGUCAUGUAGCGGUGAAAUGCUUAGAUAUGACAUAGAACACCAAUUGCGAAGGCAGCUUACUACACAACGAUUGACGCCGAGGCACGAAAGCGUGGGGAUCAAACAGG